UACGGAGGGAGCUAGCGUUGUUCGGAAUUACUGGGCGUAAAGCGCGCGUAGGCGGCUUUGUAAGUUAGAGGUGAAAGCCCGGAGCUCAACUCCGGAACUGCCUUUAAGACUGCAUCGCUUGAAUCCGGGAGAGGUGAGUGGAAUUCCGAGUGUAGAGGUGAAAUUCGUAGAUAUCGAGAGGAACACCGGUGGCGAAGGCGGCGAUCUGGACGAUGACUGACGCUGAGACGCGAAAGCGUGGGGAGCAAACAGG
rnacentral:rRNA from 1 species